rnacentral:tRNA from 1 species
GGGAUGUAGCUCAGUGGUAGAGAGCUUGCCUACCAUGUGCAAGGAGGCCCUGAGUUUAAUUCCUAGUAUCUCA